UACGUAGGUGGCGAGCGUUGUCCGGAUUUACUGGGCGUAAAGAGCGCGCAGGCGGCUGGGCAAGUCCGAUGUGAAAGCUUCCGGCUUAACUGGAAAAUUGCAUCGGAAACUGCUCGGCUUGAAGGUGGGAGAGGGUAGCGGAAUUCCUGGUGUAGCGGUGAAAUGCGCAGAUAUCAGGAGGAACACCAAUGGCGAAGGCAGCUCGCUGGGACGUUACUGACGCUGAGACGCGAAAGCGUGGGGAGCAAACAGG
rnacentral:rRNA from 1 species